CCGUCACAGCCUGGGCCUUCUAGGCGCCUGUCAUGUCUACCCCUGCUUCCCCAGAAGCCACUGUCUUCAGAGCAGAUGCAAUGACCACCCCUGGAAGCCUUGGAGGCUAUUCAAGGCCCAAGAACCUGCUUGUGACCAGGGUGCUUCACAAAGCAGCGUGACAAUGACAAGCGUCACAGUGAGACCCACAGAACAGUGGACCCAGCAAGGGGACCCCCAAGGGAGAGCCGGCUCUGGGCUGGAAGAGGGCCCUUGAAAAAUUUAGCCUUCAGGACGUCUUUCACUUCAUUCUCUAAACCCAGGAAGAAUGCUGGAGACUCUGAAACAAAACAAGUAGAACUCCUCUCAGAUUCUCCCGGUUCUGCUUGGUGCAACAAAGACUGGCUUUUUUACAUUUCAAAAGAGGCCGCUUUCUCUUUAAAAAGUAGGAGCUACUUGGUCUGCUGCGGCUGCCUUUAUCAACCAUGAAGUUCCCAGCAAGGCGCUGUUAGUGCCUGAUUAAACGUCAUACCAACCCGUGUCCCCCAUGGAAACCCAGAAGACAUC
ensembl:lncRNA